UCCGGCGUAGCUCAGCGGUAGAGUAGGUGACUGUUAAUCACUUGGUCGCUGGUUCGAAUCCAGCCGCCGGAGCCA
rnacentral:tRNA from 1 species